AUACGGAGGACCCGAGCGUUAUCCGGAUUUAUUGGGUUUAAAGGGUGCGCAGGCGGCCAUUUAAGUCAGCGGUUAAAUCGUGGGGCUCAACCCCAUUCUGCCGUUGAUACUGGGUGGCUUGAUUGCGGUCGAGGCUGGCGGAAUUCGUUGUGUAGCGGUGAAAUGCAUAGAUAUGACGAAGAAGACCGAUUGCGUAGGCUGCUGACCAGACCGCAAAUGACGCUCAUGCACGAAAGUGCGGGGAUCGAACAGGAUUAGAUACCCUGGUAGUCCGCACAGUAAACGAUGAAUACUUGUUUUCGGCGAUAUAAUGUCGGAGGCAAAGCGAAAGCGAUAAGUAUUCCACCUGGGGAGUACGCCGGCAACGGUGAAACUCAAAGGAAUUGGCGGGG
rnacentral:rRNA from 1 species